AUUGAACGCUGGCGGCAUGCUUUACACAUGCAAGUCGAGCGGUAACAGGCCUUCGGGUGCUGACGAGUGGCGAACGGGUGAGUAAUGCAUCGGAACGUACCCAGAGGUGGGGGAUAACGCAGCGAAAGCUGUGCUAAUACCGCAUGUGAUCUGAGGAUGAAAGCGGGGGACCGAGCAGCAAUGUUUGGCCUCGCGCCUUUGGAGCGGCCGAUGUCGGAUUAGCUAGUUGGUGGGGUAAAGGCCUACCAAGGCGACGAUCCGUAGCUGGUCUGAGAGGACGACCAGCCACACUGGGACUGAGACACGGCCCAGACUCCUACGGGAGGCAGCAGUGGGGAAUUUUGGACAAUGGGCGCAAGCCUGACCCAGCAAUGCCGCGUGCGGGAAGAAGGCCUUCGGGUUGUAAACCGCUUUUGGCAGGAACGAAACGGUGUCCGCUAAUACCGGGCGCUAAUGACGGUACCUGCAGAAUAAGCACCGGCUAACUACGUG
rnacentral:rRNA from 1 species